rfam:Corynebacterium maris DSM 45190, complete genome.
GGGGCUGACUUUUGGUUUCGACUUCGGACACUAAGCCAGGGGAAGCGUGCCGGUGAAGGCUGGAGACCACCGUAAGCGUCGCAGCAACUUGAUAAGCGCCGAGAAGAACUCUCAGCGUGACUACGCCCUCGCUGCCUAAGUAGCGACCGCGUGUCCGUCAGCCCCGGUUCGUCGCCGGCCGGGAUCCUGGCGUCGACUCAGGUGACUUGCCGUCAGGCCGCGUCAGCGGGGCCUGACGGGACUCACACCGCUGACUGGGCUCAUCAUCCGGGACGAGUUCGCCCGAGCCGGAGAGCCGAGCAGAGAUCAUGAGCGAACUGCGCACGGAGAAGCCCUGGCGCGGUGCCGAAGGACCCGGGUUCAAAUCCCGGCAGCUCCACCG